rnacentral:rRNA from 1 species
ACACGGCUGGAAAAGUGAAACUGCGAAUGGCUCAUUAAAUCAGUUAUGGUUCCUUUGAUCGCUCACCCGCUACUUGGAUAACUGUGGCAAUUCUAGAGCUAAUACAUGCAAACGAGCGCUGACCUCCGGGGAUGCGUGCAUUUAUCAGACUUAAAACCCGCGCGGGGCGCUGCCGCGUGGUGGCCCCCGGCCUGUUUGGUGACUCUAGAUAACCUUGGGCCGAUCGCUCGCCCUCGCGGCGGCGACGACUCAUUCGAAUGUCUGCCCUAUCAACUUUCGAUGGUACUCUAUGUGCCUACCAUGGUGACCACGGGUAACGGGGAAUCAGGGUUCGAUUCCGGAGAGGGAGCCUGAGAAAUGGCUACCACAUCCAAGGAAGGCAGCAGGCGCGCAAAUUACCCAUUCACGACACGUGGAGGUAGUGACGAAAAAUAACAAUACAGGACUCUUUCGAGGCCCUGUAAUUGGAAUGAGUGUACUUUAAAUCCUUUGGCCAGUACCAAUUGGAGGGCAAGUCUGGUGCCAGCA